GUCCUGAAGGAACGUUGAAGACGACGACGUUGAUAGGCCGGGUGUGUAAGCGCAGCGAUGCGUUGAGCUAACCGGUACUAAUGAACCGUGAGGCUUAACCUUACAACGCCGAAG
rnacentral:rRNA from 9 species